GACAGAGGAUGCAAACGUUGCUCGGAAUUACUGGGCGUAAAGCGCGUGUAGGCGGUUACGCGAGUCGGGUGUGAAAGCCCGGGGCUCAACCCCGGACGUGCACUCGAUACUACGUAGCUGGAGUACUGUAGAGGAUGGCGGAAUUCCCGGUGUAGAGGUGAAAUUCGUAGAUAUCGGGAGGAACACCAGUGGCGAAGGCGGCCAUCUGGACAGUGACUGACGCUGAGACGCGAAAGCGUGGGUAGCAAACAAG
rnacentral:rRNA from 1 species